UUAACUGACAGCUUCAUGAGUUGGCUUCCUCGAUCGUUCUUUUGGUAAGGGAGAUGAAAGCAAGAAACCUCGAAGCCAUCUUUCCACCCCGACCUCCCCUCUCAUCUCCACCUCCUCCGCCCGCUUCCUUACUGUCGAUUCGCCACCGUCGCUCUCAACGGCGAUGGUGUUACGUGUAGUGCGAUCGCCACCGUGGCCCUCAGCCGCUGUCUUCUUCCGCUGCAGUCAGACCGUGAACGCCCGCAUAACUCCACGAUCCUAACCACUAUUGAGAGACCACGUAUCUAGGGUCCAAAUCAUGUUCGCCUGGGACGAUUGCCGGUCCGCCACCCUAGUUCUUGGUUUUCGGUUGAUGCCCAUGACCCAUUAAUAGAAAGGGAGUGUGAAAGAGACAGGGAGAGAGCGUAGCAAGCGAGGUAGAGGUGGGACGAAGAAUUAGGAAGUAAGACGAAAAGUGUGUGAACCAGGUGGAGUAAAGUAACUUAAUUAGUGAUUUGAAGCUUUGAUAUAGCCAGAAGAUAUCACGUGAUCCGCAUCAGAAUGAUGGUUUUUCAAUCUCACGUGGCUGAGGAGGUCUAUGAGGAGCCAAAUGGACUGCGAAGAAGGAUCUGCUCCUCCCCUCUCUUAACCAGAUGGUAAGGCGACAUGUUUCUCUACUCAACCAUCGUUCUUCUCUUUCAAUUCUUCUUGUAUUCUUUUCUAGAAUCGCCGAUGAUGUUGAGAUCCGUCAUGUUUCAAUGGGACUUCUAUAGCCGAUCGAAAUUCUUGGAAGAGCCAAACGAAGUGCGAAGAAGGAUCUCCGCUACUUUCCUCUUCAACAAUAUUAUUAGACUACGUGAUUCUCUA